rnacentral:lncRNA from 1 species
UUUUUGCUGCCUUUAGAAUCCUUAUCUUUAACUUUUGCCAUUUUUAUUAUAAUACGUCUUGGUGUGGUCUUGUUUGGGUUCAACUUGUUGCGGUCCUCUGUGCUUCCUAUACCUUGAUAGCAGUUUCUUUUAGAUUUGGAAAGUUUUCAGACAUAAUUUCUUCAAAUAUAUUUUCAAUCCCCUUUUCUUUUUCUUCUCCUUCUGGAAUUCCUCUUAUGCAUUGAUUGGCCUGCUUUAUAUUAUCUCUUAGAUCUUUUAUAUUUCUUUCAUGUUUCUUCAUUGGGUUUUCUGUCUGCUGUCCUGAUUCAGUGAUUUCCAUUAUUCUAUCUUUCAAGUCACUAAUUUGUUCUUCUGCAUUAUUCAUUCUGCUCUUUAGUGCCUUUAGCUCAGUUUGUGUCUCUGUAAAUGAAUUUUCUAAUUUUUCUAUGUCCCUCCUUAUAUUUUAUAGUUCCUUUGUAAAGGAAUCUGCAUUACAGUUCAUAUCUUCUCUUGAUUCCUUGAUAUUCAGCCUUAAUUCCUUCAGUAUUUUCACUACCUCCCUUUUGAACUCAGUGUCUAUCAGACUGCAGAGGUCUGUUUCAUAUUUGCUGUUUAAUAUGAAUUCUCCUGUUCCUUUAACUGGGAAUUGUUUCUGAGCUUCUUCAUCUAGCUUAAGUCUUUCUUUGUCUCUUAGUUUAGGGAAGCCAAACUGUAGUCUUGGAGGGCUACUUCUAUGCAAGAGCACCCCUUUGUAUUUUGUGUGUGUGGGGGGGUUACUAUUUAUUUUUAGCAUGGGAGUUUGAAUAUUAGCUCUCUGUUUCUUCAGUGUGAGCAGGCUGUUACCCCAGGGGUGCUGAGUGUGUUUCCAGGGAGAAGGAAGCAAUGGCUAGGGCUGGCAGUAAGUGCAUGUUUGAUGGGGCUCUUAACAGCAACAAGGACCUGUAGAGAGGUGGCACAGGCUACUCCUAGUUGCAGGGCCCUGGGAAGUGGCGAUGAGCCCUAGGCAUAUUUACAAGGUGCUCAGAGCAUUUGGCAAUGGCAACAGCAUGGUGUGUGUGUUCCAGGGUGGGGGAGGGGACAACAAUUAGUGUUCAAUCACAAUGCCCUCCUCUGAGAUGACUGGAGCCACUGGUGGUGCCUGUUCAGGGACCCCUAGUGGUAGUGGGCCAUGACCACCUCUGGAGUCAGUGAUAACUGUGGUGGUUUGCCCCUGCCUCCUGCAGACUAUGCAAAAAUCACCCACAUCUCACUCAGCCCACACAGGAGGUGCUGCAAAGUUUGCUCCUAGUUGCAAGAUCCUGUGAAAUGACAGAGAUCAAGCAUGUGGGCACUGCCUGGAGCAUUCAGCAGUGGCAGAGGGCGGGCUGGUGUGUUCCUGGGGGUGCAAGAGCAAAAACACAUGGUAUUCAGUCACAGUGCCCUCCUCUGUGGUUGCCCCUGAGGUGACUGGGGCCACAAGUGGUGCUUGUUCAUGGACCCAUAGUGGUGGUGGCCAUGCCCACCUCUGGAGUCAGCUAUUACUGCAGUGGUUUGCCCCCACCACCUAUAGACCAUGCAAGAAGCACUUCAUUCCUCUUAGCCCCACAGAAUGUGCUGCACCAGCUGCUCCUAGUUGUAGGUUCCCAGGAAGGGGCAGUGAUCAAGCGUCUGGGAACUGCCCAGAGUGUUUGGCAGUGGCAGCAGCAGAGCAGGUGUGCUCCCAGGGCAGUAAGAGCAACAACAGGUGGUAUUUCAUUGCAAUGUCCUCCUCUGUGGUGCCCUCUGAGGUGAUUGGGGCUGCAAGUGGUUCUUGUUCAGGGAUACCCAUCAGCAGUGAACCACACUCACCUCUGGAGUCAGAGAUAACUGUGGUGGUUUGCCCCUGCCACAUGCAGACCAUGCAAGAAGCACCCCAUCCCACCUAACCCAUUCCGGAGGUGCUGCACCAGCUGCUCCUCAUUGUAGAGUCUUGGCAAGGGACAGUAAUCAAGCAUCUGCAUGCUGCCCAGAAUGUUCGGCAGUGGCAGCUGUGGUGGGGUGGGGGGUGUUCCCAGUGGAGUGAGAGGAACAAUGCGUGGUGCUUGGUUGCAGUGCCCUCUUUUUUUUUUCCAACCCCUGAGGUGACUGGGGCUGCAGGUGGAGCCUCCUCACAGGACCCCAGAGGUAGCAGGCCAUGCCUCCCUCUGGCCCCCAAGAUGACUGUCACAGUCUGUCCUGGCCACCUGUAGAGGCACCACUUCACACUUAGCCCCUGCUGCCCUUAGCCCACACAAGAGGUGCCCAUCCACCCAUAGCCUGAACAAGAAGCGCCCAGUCUUCCAUAGCCAGAGCAAGUGGCUUCUCGCCACCAGUAGCCUGCACCAGAGGCACCCUACACUCUGAGAGCCCAUGCAUGUGCGCACAGGGAGAUUCCCAUGGAGGGCCUCUCCUUCUCCUCUUUCUCUCCCCAACAAUGGUGCCUUGCUUUUUCUGCAGGCCCAGACCUUCUCCUGGGUUCCCUCUGCCAUGGCAUUCUACUCCCCAGCCCGUAGUACACUGCUCUCCAGCCUAUAGCACACCACUCCCCAGCCCAUGACACACAGCUCCUUAGCCUCCCAGGCUGUCCCCACAGAGCCAACCCUAGUCCUCUCCCCAGAACUGACCUUCGGAGCCUAAGUCUCAGCAUCAAGCCCCCACCCGAGUGUCUCAAGCUGUGGUGUCCAGUGUGGUGAUGCAGAUGAUCUGUGCAGCUCUCACUCUAUUUUGCCCUCCUCUCAUCUCUUAUUACACUUCUAUUUUCCCUUUUUUCAUAGUUAUUGUGAUCUUCUAAUAAACUACCUAACUUACUCAUUGAUUGGUUUUAGUGUUUAUUAUUUAUUUUUCUCUGUUAGAACAAUAGCUCCAUGAAGACGAGGCCCUUUGUCUAUUUUCUCACUGAUACUCCCCAAACAUGUAGAAGUAUGCUUGGAACAUAGUGGUCAAUAAAUAUAUGUUGAACUAAUGCAGUUUAGAACCUUCCCCACUUGCACCUUGUUCACAUAUCCUAGGCUGAAGGCAAUGAGAACUCUGCCUUCUCCCACCAAGACAGAGAAACUCUUGCCAUUACAGAAACCUGAACAAAGAGACCAAGGGCUGAAAACAAGGUAAUUGUAGAUUAGACACCAAUUGAGAGCAUCAGAAAAGCUUUUUGACCCUUUAGGAAGGAAGCAUCAAUUCUCUUUAUUCAUCUCCAGCCCUGGAAGGAUAUUGAUUCAAUAGCAGGUUUUUUCUUUCUUGGUUUGGGGAAUCAAGGAACCCUACUCUUGUAAAUAAUUAACAACUAACUAGGAUAAAGAGGUUGAUUUGUAGAUUGAUAUCAACCUAUCUCCAUUCAGUUUUACUCCCAUGAAAAGUGCUUGGCACACUCACAUAGGAUUGUCUAAAAAGUUUAUCAUGGCCACCUACUGUUUCCCAGGGAAUUCCUAAAACUUACCUUCUAUUUCUAAGAACCUGAAGAUGGCUUUCCCUUGUCUCUUCUUGCCUUUUUUUUUUUUCAUAAGUUUACUUAUACAGGGUUUUAUUCUAUGUUGCAGUCACUAUAAAAACAUUUAAUUGUAACAUAUAUUAGUUUAUAUUUAAUAGAAAUCAUAUGCACAUAAUAAACCCAAAUAAAAACUCAGGACAUUGAGGCUUAGGUGAGCUUCUUGGUUGGUGAAAACAAGACAUGCCAGGAGGGUAAUACAUACCCUGAUUCCAUGGGCAGAGGACAUGGAAGCUCUGCUUUUGGGAACUUCCUAGAUCUCACCCAGUUAUAUUCAUAGUUGCUUCUCUUUUAGAUAUCCUUUGGACAUUAGGGAAGAACUUCCACAUUUAUUGUAUUGGAUAGCCUCAAACAUUAUAAAAAUGUACCACUAUCAUCCCUAAAUCAUAUCAGUUAUCUGAAAUUCUGCCUUAUCAGAUUUUUCCAUACGCAGCCUCAGCUGAAUGAGAAUAGGAAUUCUCCUAGGAAUGAAAGCCUAGAAGGAAUAUUCCAAUAGUUUCUACUAUCUUCUUUAUUUGGCUCUGCUCUAUUCAAUAUAUUCCCUCAAUGACUUGAAUAAUUACAUGGCAACAUGCUUGUCAAAUUUGCAAGUGACAAACAGCUUGUCUAAAUAGCUAAUAUUUUAUAUGAUAGGCUCAAGAGCACAAAAUAACUCAAGCAAUUUAAUGAGUAGGCCAAAAUUAAUAAAGUGGCAAUUCAUAGAGGUGAUUAGGCCAACAUCUGACACACAGUAGUCACUCUAUAAAUGACUGU